rnacentral:ncRNA from 1 species
GAGUUCUCAACGGGGUGCGAUAAAGUCCGGUGCCGUCAUACCGUCCGCUUUACGCUGAGAAAAUACCCGUCGAACCUGAUCCGGUUAAUACCGGCGAAGGGAUUUGGGAGUGCUUUGCCG